UGCGAGGGGCGGAGCUUCCAGGAGUCAACCCUGCCUUCUCUUGGGCUUGGGGGCGGGCCCUAUUCUGAUUGGAUAUAUGAGACUGUCCAUCCUGGACUCAUCGGUCGACGGAACUGACGCUCUAGGGCGGAGGUUUGGUGCCUCCUAGAGAGAGGCCGAAGGAGCUAAGGGUCAGGAGACCGAUUCCGGAAAACUUAAUUGCUGUGCUGGCGCAGCUCUUCCUCCCUUUCUUGCUCUAGAUAGGAUACUGGACAUCUAUCUGCCUGGGGGCUUAUCUUUCGGUAUCCUAUCUUUUUGCUUUUUCAUACUGUUCAUGGAGUUCUUGAGGCAGAAAUACUGAAGUGAUUGCCAUUCCCUUCUCCAGUCGACCAUGUUUUGUCAGAACGCUCCACUGUGACCCGUCUGUUUUGGAUGGCCCUGCAUGUCGACAGCCAGCACUUUCCAAAAUCACAGUGCUGAUCAUGCUCCUAGCCCACUGGAGAACGUACAAUGGCUUGUCUUCAUCUACAUCUACAAAAUAAGGUCCAGCCUGUUCAUUGCAGCAAACUAGACCCUUCACAAUUUGACCAGCCUCACCUUUACACCUUAUGUCUUACAGCCCCCGUUUGUCUGCUGUUCUGUACUCCUAUGUUCAGUUCCACCAUUCAGCCCCCUUUCUUUGGAAUGGGGAAUCUUGAUUUUACCACUUUCUAACUCUAUGAUCUCAGGCAAGUCAUUUAAUUUCUGAGUCUCAGUUUCCUCUGCUGUCAGAAACGAGUAUAUAAAGAGAUCUGAAAUAAUGAGUUUAUGGCACCUAUUCAUGCCCAGACUUGUGU
ensembl:lncRNA